rnacentral:rRNA from 1 species
GGUGUGACUGCGUACCUUUUGUAUAAUGGGUCAGCGACUUAUAUUCUGUAGCAAGGUUAACCGUAUAGGGGAGCCGCAGGGAAACCGAGUCUUAACUGGGCGUUAAGUUGCAGGGUAUAGACCCGAAACCCGGUGAUCUAGCCAUGGGCAGGUUGAAGGUUGGGUAACACUAACUGGAGGACCGAACCGACUAAUGUUGAAAAAUUAGCGGAUGACCUGUGGCUGGGGGUGAAAGGCCAAUCAAACCGGGAGAUAGCUGGUUCUCCCCGAAAGCUAUUUAGGUAGCGCCUCGUGAACUCAUCUUCGGGGGUAGAGCACUGUUUCGGCUAGGGGGCCAUCCCGGCUUACCAACCCGAUGCAAACUACGAAUACCGAAGAAUGUUAUCACGGGAGACACACGGCGGGUGCUAACGUCCGUCGUGAAGAGGGAAACAACCCAGACCGCCAGCUAAGGUCCCAAAGUCAUGGUUAAGUGGGAAACGAUGUGGGAAGGCACAGACAGCCAGGAUGUUGGCUUAGAAGCAGCCAUCAUUUAAAGAAAGCGUAAUAGCUCACUGGUCGAGUCGGCCUGCGCGGAAGAUGUAACGGGGCUAAACCAUGCACCGAAGCUGCGGCAGCGACGCUUAUGCGUUGUUGGGUAGGGGAGCGUUCUGUAAGCCGUUGAAGGUGUGCUGUGAGGCAUGCUGGAGGUAUCAGAAGUGCGAAUGCUGACAUAAGUAACGAUAAAGCGGGUGAAAAGCCCGCUCGCCGGAAGACCAAGGGUUCCUGUCCAACGUUAAUCGGGGCAGGGUGAGUCGACCCCUAAGGCGAGGCCGAAAGGCGUAGUCGAUGGGAAACAGGUUAAUAUUCCUGUACUUGGUGUUACUGCGAAGGGGGGACGGAGAAGGCUAUGUCAGCCGGGCGACGGUUGUCCCGGUUUAAGCGUGUAGGUGUGUGUUCCAGGCAAAUCCGGUUCACUUUAACACUGAGGCGUGAUGACGAGGCACUACGGUGCUGAAGUGAUAAAUGCCCUGCUUCCAGGAAAAGCCUCUAAGCAUCAGGUAACACGAAAUCGUACCCCAAACCGACACAGGUGGUCAGGUAGAGAAUACCAAGGCGCUUGAGAGAACUCGGGUGAAGGAACUAGGCAAAAUGGUGCCGUAACUUCGGGAGAAGGCACGCUGAUAUGUAGGUGAAGCCCCUGCGGGCGGAGCUGAAAUCAGUCGAAGAUACCAGCUGGCUGCAACUGUUUAUUAAAAACACAGCACUGUGCAAACACGAAAGUGGACGUAUACGGUGUGACGCCUGCCCGGUGCCGGAAGGUUAAUUGAUGGGGUUAGCGGCAACGCGAAGCUCUUGAUCGAAGCCCCGGUAAACGGCGGCCGUAACUAUAACGGUCCUAAGGUAGCGAAAUUCCUUGUCGGGUAAGUUCCGACCUGCACGAAUGGCGUAAUGAUGGCCAGGCUGUCUCCACCCGAGACUCAGUGAAAUUGAACUCGCUGUGAAGAUGCAGUGUACCCGCGGCAAGACGGAAAGACCCCGUGAACCUUUACUAUAGCUUGACACUGAACACUGGUCCUUGAUGUGUAG